rnacentral:rRNA from 1 species
AGCAGCCGCGGUAAUUCCAGCUCCAAUAGCGUAUAUUAAAGUUGUUGCAGUUAAAAAGCUCGUAGUUGAAUUUCGGGAUCAAUAUAUCGGUCGUGCCUUGGUACGUACUGGUAUCAUUGGUUUCUCCUUUCUGACGAACCAUGAUGUCAUUAAUUUGGUGUUAUGGGAAGUUAGGACUGUUACUUUGAAAAAAUUAGAGUGUUUAAAAGCAGGCUUUAGCUUGAAUACAUUAGCAUGGAAUAAUGAAAUAGGACGUUCGAACCUAUUUUGUUGGUUCUAGGAUCAACGUAAUGAUUAAUAGGGAUAGUUGGGGGCAUUAGUAUUCAAUUGUCAGAGGUGAAAUUCUUGGAUUUAUUGAAGACUAACUACUGCGAAAGCAUUUUGCCAAGGAUGUUUUCAUUAAUCAAGAACGAAAGUUAGGGGAUCGAAGACGAUCAGAUACCGUCGUAGUCUUAACCAUAAACUAUGCCGACUAGGGAUCGGAUGAUGUUAAUUUUUUCAAUGACUCAUUCGGCGCCUU